UUAAGGAUAAAAUCUAAUCCAGACAUAAUUUUUCUCUUUGUUUUUUUCAGAGCAACACCACACACACAAACGCGCACGCACACACUCACACACAAAGUGACUCAACAUGGUUACUGCUCUCAUUAUCACGAUACUUUUAUAUUUCACAGGUCCUUCUGUUUGUUCUGUCAUCCAGAAUCCUCCUUACCUCAUAAAAUAUCAAGAUGAGUUAGCUGAGAUCGAAUGUGCACACACUGUAAAAAACUAUGACCGUAUACUGUGGUACAAACACGGUCAGGACACAGGAUUUCAAUUCAUGGGAUAUAUUUUCAAUGCGUCUCCAAAUCCAGAGGCAAAUUUUAAAUCAAAGGUCAAGUUCAGCGGUGAUGGGAGAAACAACGCUUCUUUGACCAUUAACAGUGUUUCAGUGAACGACAGUGCUGUGUAUUUCUGUGCAGCUUAUUACACAGUGCUGUAGAUCAGCUAACUUAAUUACAAAAACCUUUAUCUGAUCCAUGUUACAGACAAACCCCAACACCUGCAGCUGUGGCUGGAUUCGAUUUAAUGCCAA